AGAGUUUGAUCCUGGCUCAGGACGAACGCUGGCGGCGUGCUUAACACAUGCAAGUCAAGGGGGCCCAGCAAUGGGCAACCGGCGAACGGGUGCGUAACACGUGAGCAACCUACCGAACUGUGGGGGAUAGCCGGCCUAACGGCCGAGUAAUACCGCAUACGCUCUCAGUGAGGCAUUUCAUUGAGAGGAAACCUACGGGACAGAUCGAGGGGCUCGCGGCCUAUCAGCUAGUUGGCGAGGUAACGGCUCACCAAGGCAACGACGGGUAGCUGGUCUGAGAGGAUGGCCAGCCACAUUGGGACUGAGAUACGGCCCAGACUCCUACGGGAGGCAGCAGUGGGGAAUCUUGCGCAAUGGCCUAACGGCUGACGCAGCGACGCCGCGUGUGGGAUGAAGCUCUUCGGAGUGUAAACCACUGUUGCCCGGGACGAAUAGCUCGAUUAAUCGAGCCUGACGGUACCGGGUGAGGAAGCACCGGCUAACUCCGUGCCAGCAGCCGCGGUAAUACAGGGGGGUGCGAGCGUUGUCCGGAAUCACUGGGCGUCAAGGGCGCGUAGGUGGUUUGAUAACGGUGUGGUGAAAGUCCGGGGCUCAACCCCGGAUCUGCCGUGCCGACUGUCAGACUCGAGGGGCUGUAGAGGCAGACGGAGUUCCUGGGUGUAGCGGGUGGAAUGCGUAAAGAUUCGGAGGAAGAACGGGUGGCGAAGGCGGUCUGCUUGGNAGUUUCUGACACUGAUGCGCGACAGCGUGGGAGCCACAGGAUCGAUCCCUGUGUCAGGC
rnacentral:rRNA from 1 species